GGGGCCUUAGCUCAGCUGGGAGAGCGCAACGCUGGCAGCGUUGAGGUCAGGGGUUCGAGCCCCUAGGUCCAU
rnacentral:tRNA from 1 species